GGUGCAAGCGUUAUCCGGAUUUACUGGGUGUAAAGGGAGCGCAGGCGGCGCGGCAAGUCAGAUGUGAAAGCCCGGGGCCCAACCCCCGGACUGCUUUGGAAACUGUGAAACUGGAGUGCAGGAGAGGUAAGUGGAAUUCCUAGUGUAGCGGUGAAAUGCGUAGAUAUUAGGAGGAACACCAGUGGCGAAGGCGGCUUACUGGACUGUAACUGACGUUGAGGCUCGAAAGCGUGGGGAGCAAAC
rnacentral:rRNA from 1 species